rnacentral:lncRNA from 1 species
UGUGGGUAUAUAUGUCAAUGAGACAGCAACUCAAUGAUAAAAUUAACUAACAGGGUUGCCUUUACAAUGUCAAGCUCUGAAUCGCAAAGUGUAAAAAAAUUGUGAUUACACUAAAUAAAUUAUCAAAAAUAGCACCACAUUCUAAAUUCUCAAAAAUAAAAAGAAAAAAAUUCUGAUAUGGCUUCAGAAAACCAAGCAAGCCUCUUUCUAUUGGAACAUGCAUGCUCAUAACCAUGUAUUUACAUUUUUAAUAUUUGGC